AUCCGGCUGAUGAGUCCUAAAUAGGACGAAACGUGCGUCCUGGAU
rnacentral:hammerhead_ribozyme from 1 species